rnacentral:lncRNA from 1 species
CUUUCAGCAAAUGUUCACUGAAAUUGUGCUGUUAUUUAUCAGCUGCCCUUCAGGAAAGGGGUUAAGAGAACUUUCAUUAACAUCAAUAACUUAAUCGACUGUGACUGUAACAGAAAUAGUGACCUGAUCAUUGUGAGUGAAGACAAUGGGAAGACAUUUGUUGACUCUCCUUUUUUGUUUAUAUGUAUGCUUCAUAUCUUACAUUACUUUGCUCAUCUGUGACACCAUCAUUCUGGGGAUCUGAGGGCUGCAGAAAACCCUGAGUUAAUCUUAUGAUGCCUGUGACACUGUAAGCAGCAAAAGACUAGCCACCUGCCCAAGCCAUUGUCUGCACCACUUCAGAGAACUGAAGGAAUCACUGGAAGUGAGUGCUCAGUUACUUCAGCCAAGUCAAUUCGUUAAUGGACCUGCCUGGAGGCAGGGAUCUUCUGGAGAAUUAGCCGUGCGACCUCCAACUGCCAGCUUUACUGGAGAAGUUACCUCUGUUGAGACUCUCUGUCUCAUACAGAUAUAGAUGGGAGAAACAGCAUGCUUAGUACCUGUCUUAUUGGAUAACUCAUCCCUUACAAAUGUCUGCCCUACUUACCUCACAUUUUGUAGUUUGGGGCCUGUUUCUCUUUCAGGGGCUGUGAGCAUGCUUUGAGGUGCACAAUAGAGAUGCCUUCUCCAUUGACUGUGGAGCUCAAUGAGCCAAACACGGCGAGAGCCCCGGUAACAGCAGCAGCAGCAGCAGUGGUGCAGCACAGUAAUGGGCCCAACUGUUAACUGAUUUAACACUCUGCCAGCUGCAGUCCCUGAGCUCAGAGAGGAGCAGCGGGCCUGUGUGGCUCUUUGAAUAUUACCUUUCAGCCAAUUAGACAUAUGUCACUUUAAUAAAAUGUUUCGUGUGUGUUCA